rnacentral:rRNA from 1 species
UACAGAGGGUGCGAGCGUUAAUCGGAAUUACUGGGCGUAAAGCGUGCGCAGGCGGUUGUGCAAGACAGAUGUGAAAUCCCCGGGCUCAACCUGGGAAUUGCAUUUGUGACUGCACGGCUAGAGUGUGUCAGAGGGGGGGUAGAAUUCCACGUGUAGCAGUGAAAUGCGUAGAGAUGUGGAGGAAUACCGAUGGCGAAGGCAGCCCCCCUGGGAUAACACUGACGCUCAUGCACGAAAGCGUGGGGAGCAAACAGG